rnacentral:tRNA from 1 species
GGGGCCUUAGCUCAUCUGGGAGAGCCCCUGCUUUGCACGCGGGAUGUCAGCGGUUCGAUCCCGCUAGGCUCCAUCA